rnacentral:sRNA from 2 species
UGUAUCUGAAGCCUGACGAGGAUGAGAACCUCCGGGGGCAAGAGGUUCGACCCGAGCGAAGCGAGAGAACGUUGCGUCAGCAACGGCCCGCAGGGCGAGCCACGCAGUGGCGAGUCAUCCUCUAUCACCAGCA